UUUUGCAGCAAUAGAUUUUGUCCCACUCCACCUCCCGUCCGGCAGGCGGCGCCAGUCCGCCAUGACGUAUUUAAGCAGCGACGGAAGGUUGGUUCGGUCAUUUUACCACAGCCGGGCGAGAGGAGCAGGAUUGAAGGCGUUGGACCAGCAGCAUCUCAGACCAGGGUUCUGCUGGUUGGGACAGAAAAUGGCCCUCACAGCCACCGUAGAGGCUUGGUUGACCGCUACCAAAAUGAUGACUGAUGUAUUAAGGAGAAGAAAAGCAAGAAUCUCCUCAGGCUGAAUCCUUGCUGCCGUUUCUCUUGCCAAACGAUGAAGCUGCUGGUCUUUCUCCGCUCAUAUCUGCUCAUCUAACUGGGAAUAAUGAUGUGGCCUCAAAGCAGCUGCUGCAGUGAAAACCUUCAGGUGGAGGAGUUUCUGCAUGAAGGCCUUUCAGUAUUGGAGGCAUACAGUUUCCACCAGAGGUCGAAAGACCAAAGAGGGUUCAUUCCUUCCUUGGAUGUCUGAGCGAAAAAUAUUAAAACUGUACUGUGUUUGGGACAAAAUGUGUGUAAUUGAUCCGUUGUGUAGUGAGGUCCAGUCCACCGUCUGGGCUGGUCUCUGAUAUUCCUGCUCUGGUUAAUGAGUGAGAGCUGAGCGGCUCAGUCUAAUUUAAACAUGUUUUGAGUCGACUCUUAACUCUGUUGUGGAGCGAUUACUGAGCCAAAUGCAACUCAGGGCGUCUGCAUCCCUAGAAAAAAAUGUAGGUCAUUUAAGGCCUUAAAUUGUCAUGAAUUCAUUAAGAAAUGUUGGUAAUUUUAAUCACAGGUGUUUCAUUUUAUCUAUGUAGUUUCUUUCCCUUGUGUGACUUCUCAGGCAAAUGUUUAAAUAAACAUCCUCAUGUUCUGAGUGGAGGUGGUUGAGGCUACCGCUAACUACGUACAUUUCAGUUUAAGGGAGAGCAGAAUAGAAAUGAUAUCCGUUUUCUGAUGCGUUGCUAAGAGCAGCAGCAUUAUGAAGGAGGGCAGAUUUCCACUUUUUGUUCAGCCCACAAUGAAGGAAAACCACCAACCAGACGUUUCUUUCCUCUUCCAGGUGGUGAAAUGUGGUUAAUCUGCUGGAUCGUCACCGUUGGUUACGAACCUCAUGAAUCUGAUGAUGGACUGAUUCAGUGACUGCUGCUGUUCUCUGGGAUUAUUUUAUAAUUUAUUAAUAAAGUCUGAUGUAAAUGAAACUGA